AACGAACGCUGGCGGCAUGCCUAACACAUGCAAGUCGAACGAUGGCUUCGGCCAUAGUGGCGCACGGGUGAGUAACGCGUGGGAACCUGCCUUUUGGUUUGGGAUAACUCCGGGAAACUGGAGCUAAUACCGGAUGAGCCCGAGCAAUCGGGGAAAGAUUUAUCGCCAAAAGAGGGGCCCGCGUCCGAUUAGGUAGUUGGUGGGGUAAUGGCCUACCAAGCCUACGAUCGGUAGCUGGUCUGAGAGGAUGAUCAGCCACACUGGGACUGAGACACGGCCCAGACUCCUACGGGAGGCAGCAGUGGGGAAUAUUGGACAAUGGGCGCAAGCCUGAUCCAGCAAUGCCGCGUGGAUGAUGAAGGCCUUAGGGUUGUAAAGUCCUUUCGGCGGGGACGAUGAUGACGGUACCCGCAGAAGAAGCCCCGGCUAACUUCGUGCCAGCAGCCGCGGUAAU
rnacentral:rRNA from 1 species